GGGCCCGCACAAGCGGCGGAGCAUGCGGAUUAAUUCGAUGCAACGCGAAGAACCUUACCAAGGCUUGACAUAUAGAGGAAAAGUGCAGAAAUGCACUCCCCGCAAGGUCUCUAUACAGGUGGUGCAUGGUUGUCGUCAGCUCGUGUCGUGAGAUGUUGGGUUAAGUCCCGCAACGAGCGCAACCCUCGUCCUAUGUUGCCAGCACGUAAUGGUGGGAACUCAUGGGAUACUGCCGGGGUCAACUCGGAGGAAGGUGGGGAUGACGUCAAAUCAUCAUGCCCCUUAUGUCUUGGGCUUCACGCAUGCUACAAUGGCCGGUACAGAGGGCCGCAAUACCGCAAGGUGGGCAGGCUGCA
rnacentral:rRNA from 1 species